rnacentral:lncRNA from 1 species
UGUCGGCGGGCUGCUGUGGGCGUCGCGAGGCUCCGGCGGUGCUGCUGUGGCCCUGUCGGCGUUGUGAGCUGCAGCGGGGCUGCUGUGGGGGUCGCGGCUGCCGUCGCGGUUGCCGUGGGCGUCGCGGCUGCCGGGGAACUCUUCUUGUUGUGGGUGUCGCAGCUGACGGCGGGCUGAGGAGGAAGGGUUGGAGGCUGCUGGGUUAAAUUUUGCUUAUAUAAUCA